GAUGAACGCUGGCGGCGUGCCUAACACAUGCAAGUCGAGCGAUCUUCUUCGGAAGAGAGCGGCGGACGGGUGAGUAACGCGUGGGUAACCUGCCUCAUACACAUGGAUAACAUACCGAAAGGUAUGCUAAUACAAGAUGAUAUAAGAGAUUCGCAUGGAUUUCUUAUCAAAGCUCCGGCGGUAUGAGAUGGACCCGCGUCUGAUUAGCUAGUUGGUAAGGUAACGGCUUACCAAGGCGACGAUCAGUAGCCGACCUGAGAGGGUGAUCGGCCACAUUGGAACUGAGACACGGUGCAAACUCCUACGGGAGGCAGCAGUGGGGAAUAUUGCACAAUGGGCGAAAGCCUGAUGCAGCAACGCCGCGUGAGCGAUGAAGGCCUUCGGGUCGUAAAGCUCUGUCCUCAAGGAAGGUAAUGACGGUACUUGAGGAGGAAGCCCCGGCUAACUACGUGCCAGCCGCCGCAGUAA
rnacentral:rRNA from 1 species